AUUGAACGCUGGCGGCAUGCUUUACACAUGCAAGUCGAACGGUAACAGGUUAAGCUGACGAGUGGCGAACGGGUGAGUAAUGCAUCGGAACGUGCCCGGUCGUGGGGGAUAACGCAGCGAAAGCUGCGCUAAUACCGCAUACGAUCUGAGGAUGAAAGCGGGGACCGUAAGGCCUCGCGCGAUCGGAGCGACCGAUGUCAGAUUAGGUAGUUGGUGGGGUAAAGGCUCACCAAGCCAACGAUCUGUAGCUGGUCUGAGAGGACGACCAGCCACACUGGGACUGAGACACGGCCCAGACUCCUACGGGAGGCAGCAGUGGGGAAUUUUGGACAAUGGGCGAAAGCCUGAUCCAGCAAUGCCGCGUGCAGGAAGAAGGCCUUCGGGUUGUAAACUGCUUUUGUACGGAGCGAAAAGGUCUCCUCUAAUACAGGGGGCUCAUGACGGUACCGUAAGAAUAAGCACCGGCUAACUACGUGCCAGCCGCCGCGGUAA
rnacentral:rRNA from 1 species